GACUCAGAUUCUCCCCAGACGCCAAGGUUGCGGGUCAUGGAGUCCCGAACCCUCCUCCUGCUGUUCUCGGGAGCCGUGGCCCUGAUCCAGACCUGGGCAGAUUACAAUUACAAUCAAGGCAGAAAUGAUCUCAUUUUUACAUUACAACUCUGGAAAAGGCAAUAGACUGAGAUGCAAGUGUGCCCCCAAGUGAUGGGCAGAAGGAGAGAAGGUGUUUUGGAUGCAUUCUAGAACACAGGUAAUCUAAGGAGAGUUGAUCAAGGCCGUGGAAGAGUCCUCCAGCCACUAUUGGCCAUCAAAGGAGUCCUCUGUGUCCCAGGAAUGGUCCUGCUUUGGUGUCCCUGGUGUGACCCAUCACCCGCUGGGAACAGCCUGAGAGAAGUAGGGCCUCUGCACCAAUGCUGCUGAGGAUGUCAGAGCACAGGAACGAGGCCUUGGGAAAUUACCUGGAAAUGCGACUGAAAUCUUCCUUCCUGAGGGGUCUGGGCUCUUGGAAAUCAAACCCUCUCAGGUUGGGUGGCUGGACGAUUCUCCUCACACUUACAAUGGGACAAGGGGAACCAGGAGGCCCCCAAGGGGAUCCCUGGGUUCCACACGAACUCCUCCUACCCUCAUUGUGUGACAGCAGCCAUGCCUCCUCCUGGGGAUCAGGAUCUAUUACCUGUGCCUGGAGAGGAGGGGACUCCUCUUCUCACCCGCUGGUCUCUGGACACAUACUGUCCAAUUCCCCUGUGGCAGCUGUAAUGUGUAGUUCAAUGGGCACUCAUUUGUCCCCUUUUAAGGGUACCCUCCUUUAGAAUCCAGGACCUUCUACCCUGCAGAGUGUGGUUUUGGGAGAGAAGUGCAAAAUCCCACGACAGGUGAGUUGAAGGAAUGGGAUAUGGAGCCACAUCCACUUCCACCCCUUGGUAUCUGGACCCACGUGUUCUUCCUACUGAGAUUACAGAACUGUAGAGAUGUCUUUGAUUUUUAAAAUGCACCAUGUCCUGAAAGAUGGCACCCUCCCACCCGCAGAGUGCUUCCUGCAAGCUGGCGUUGAGCUGUGCCUAUAGAAGCUCUUUUCAACAUUCUUUAUGGCCAGCAGCCCUUGGUUGGUGCAGAUGGUGAUAGGACCAGUGGGUCCCACAGCAUGGCCACACUGCACCUCCUUCGCUGUCAAGUGGGUCCCCCACGAAGAUACUGCACGGAGAGCAGUGCCAAGCCUGUGGAUCAGGAAUAUCAACAGCCCCCAGAGAGUGGUGCUGGCUGAGGGUCUGAGAGCAGGACAGGAAAACCCACCUAUGGAAUAGGUGCCUAUCCCUGUGAAGAUGAACCUCUGGCCCUUCCAGGAUGGAAGGAGUGCAAUGUAGUCAACUCCUCACUUAGGGUCUGGUUGGUCACCUAAAGAAAUAGAGCCCUACCAGGGAAGAUCAUUGGGUUCAAAUGCUGAUGAGUAGGACAUUUAGAGGUGGCAGUGUCUGGAUCUACCUUGGUAGGAGGGAGUCAGUACUGUUGGACCCAUAGGUAGCCUCAUCCCUGCCACUGUGUUUGCUCCAUUUAUGUACCCAUCCUACCCGGCCUGGGCUGACCCAUGGGGAAGGCUGGCUAAUUUCAGUGCUUCUGCUUGGUUGUUCAGGGCCAUUUCAGGUUUGGGUGUUUUCUGGGGAUGUUAACAUGGGAUUCAGGCUCAACUCACAAGAAACUUUUCCAUCUCAUGAUGGAUGCUGUUGGGCAUGUCCAAUGUAUGACUUCAUGAGUUACACAGAUGCUAAUUCGUAGGGGCACUUGGAAUCACAUGGUUGUUUUGUGUCCCAUGGUCAAGCAUUCUAUCUUAUCAGGGCCUACAGUAACAUGCCAAAAGUUGCUUCCAACAUAUUUCUCUGCUUUGGAUGGGGCAUAUUUCUGUGCUGUGGAUGACAUGGCCUUACUCCAGAAUCCCAGGCCCUCCACUGUGACUCUCCUACUGGUGCUUGGUUCAGCUCCACCCCAAAUCUUACCCCACCACUGGCACUUUCAGCACCAGGGGGUCUGAAGGAUGGUGACUGCGCCAUGGCCUGGAUCUGCUGCAGUGUCCUUUCCUGUGGAGGCUCCACUCAAAGCUGGCAUCCUCCUAUGUCACCUAGAGUGUGGGUCAAAGCAAUACACCUACAUGUAGAAUGUGAUGUCAGAACUCAAACAGGCUCACCAGGCAGUGUGCUUCCUUCCUUGCAUGAGGAUGCAAGAUGCAACAGUUUGUCUUUCACAUUGGAAGGGACACCCCUGGAUGCCCCUAACCACUAGACCUGUAAAACUUCACUGCAGUGGCCACUUCUGAAUCUCUGUAAGGUUUAUUUAUCUUCACCCUCUGGAGAGAAGAUGUUUUACCAAAGCCUCUAGUGUACCUUCCUCCUCUUACUCAUCCAUCCCAGUCAACAUGAUGUUGUCAAUGAAAUAAAGGAAUUUAAUAUUCUAUAGUAUAUCCAGGUUCUCCAGAUCUCUUAAGACUGUACUAUAGAGGCCUGGGGAAUUAUAAUAGCCCUGAGGCAAACUAUGAAUUAAAGUGUUGUGGAUCCCACAUGAAAAAAAAAA
rnacentral:lncRNA from 1 species